AUCUAGCCCCGAUAGAGGAGGUAUCCUCGCAGAGAAGCGGAGAGAUAAAGCCGAAAGCGGGAACUGUG
rnacentral:misc_RNA from 1 species